AUUGAACGCCGGCGGCAGGCUUAACACAUGCAAGUCGAGCGGAGCGAGGGUGCUUGCACCUUAGCUUAGCGGCGGACGGGUGAGUAAUGCUUAGGAAUCUGCCUAUUAGUGGGGGACAACAUUCCGAAAGGAAUGCUAAUACCGCAUACGCCCUACGGGGGAAAGCAGGGGAUCUUCGGACCUUGCGCUAAUAGAUGGGCCUAAGUCGGAUUAGCUAGUUGGUGGGGUAAAGGCCUACCAAGGCGACGAUCUGUAGCGGGUCUGAGAGGAUGAUCCGCCACACUGGGACUGAGACACGGCCCAGACUCCUACGGGAGGUAGCAGUGGGGAAUAUUGGACAAUGGGCGGAAGCCUGAUCCAGCCAUGCCGCGUGUGUGAAGAAGGCCUUUUGGUUGUAAAGCACUUUAAGCGAGGAGGAGGCUACUUAGAUUAAUACUCUGGGAUAGUGGACGUUACUCGCAGAAUAAGCACCGGCUAACUCUGUGCCAGCCGCCGCGGUAAAAC
rnacentral:rRNA from 1 species